rnacentral:rRNA from 1 species
UACAGAGGCCCCGAGCGUUACCCGGAAUCACUGGGCGUAAAGGGUGUCCAGGCGGUCGUGUUAGUCGUUCGUAAAAUCCGCGCGCUUAACGUGCGGCUCGCGAACGAAACGGCACGACUAGAGAGCGCGAGAGGUACAGGGAACUCAUGGUGGAGGGGUGAAAUCCGUUGAUAUCAUGGGGAACACCAAAGGCGAAGGCACUGUACUGGCGCGUUUCUGACGCUCACACACGAAAGCCAGGGGAGCGAACGGG